rnacentral:tRNA from 1 species
CCGGUAGUUCAGUUGGUUAGAAUACCUGUCCCGAUCACAGAUCGGGAGGGUCGCGGGUUCGAGUCCCGUCCGGA